AUGGCGGCAUGGAUCUCCCUAGGACGACGCAUCUCUUUGGGUCCACCUGGUCUUUGCUCCCUCUAUUACUCACUUCGGCGAAUUUGUACUCAUCCGAUUGGCCCUUCAUUCAUACAUAGAAUCUGGCCGGUCCACUACCUUGCUGGAUGGAUGGGCGUGUACCUCAAGAAACCCUAUGGAAACAGAGCAAAAACACCAAAUUUCCCGAGCCCCAAAAUCUUGGCAGUACAGCCUAAUAUGGUGAAAACCAUGUUUAAGACGCCACGUCUUUUUACUCCCAAAGAGGCACAUGCUUUCCUCAAUGACUAUAAGAAUAUUGCUUGGAACCCCCAUUCUCUCACUAUGGAAGGUGUGUUCAAACCCAAGAGGGCUUUCUUAAUUUCUAUUUGUCGAGGCAUGCUGCCGUGGAGGCGUGGUACUAUCACCGCCGACGUGUGUAUAGCUGAACCAUAUCACCCAGAUCGAGUGGCACGACAGUUUCGUCUUGACCCAGUUGUACCCUUUUCUCCUCUAGCGAGCCUGUAUACUCAAGACGAAAUUGGAAUUGCCUAUGCUUUUUUGGUCACACCUAUUAUCCUUGGCCCCUGA
rnacentral:rRNA from 1 species